GAUGAACGCUGGCGGCGUGCCUAAUACAUGCAAGUCGAGCGAACAGACGAGGAGCUUGCUCCUCUGACGUUAGCGGCGGACGGGUAGUAACAAGGGGUCUACCUACCUAUAAGGCUGGGAUUACUUCGGGAAACCGGAGUUAAUAACGGGUAAUGAAUUGGACCGCAUGGUUUCAUAGUGAAAGACGGUUUUGCUUUAGCCUAUAGAUGGAUCCGCGCCGCAUUAGCUAGUUGGUUAGGUAACGGCUUACCAAGGCAACGAUGCGUAGCCGACCUGAGAGGGUGAUCGGCCACACUGGAACUGAGACACGGUCCAGACUCCUACGGGAGGCAGCAGUAGGGAAUCUUCCGCAAUGGGCGAAAGCCUGACGGAGCAACGCCGCGUGAGUGAUGAAGGUCUUCGGAUCGUAAAACUCUGUUAUUAGGGAAGAACAAAUGUGUAAGUAACUAUGCACGUCUUGACGGUACCUAAUCAGAAAGCCACGGCUAACUACGUG
rnacentral:rRNA from 1 species